rnacentral:rRNA from 1 species
AAUGAUUGAUAGGUAGAGUUGGGGGUGCUAGUAUUCAGCGGCCAGAGGUGAAAUUCUCGGAUUUGCUGAAGACUAACUUAUGCGAAAGCAUCCACCAAGGAUGUCUUCUUUAAUCAAGAACGAAAGUUGGGGUCUAGAAGACGAUCGAAUACCUUCGUAGUCUCAACCAUAAACUAUGCCGAUAAGCGAUUCUUGAACUUUCACUUCU